rnacentral:rRNA from 1 species
GUAGCUGGUCUGAGAGGAUGGCCAGCCACACUGGAACUGAGACACGGUCCAGACUCCUACGGGAGGCAGCAGUGGGGAAUAUUGGACAAUGGGGGCAACCCUGAUCCAGCAAUGCCGCGUGUGUGAAGAAGGCCUGAGGGUUGUAAAGCACUUUCAGUGGGGAGGAGGGAUGAUUGGUUAAGAGCUGAUUAWUUGGACGUUACCCACAGAAGAAGCACCGGCUAACUCCGUGCCAGCAGCCGCGGUAAUACGGAGGGUGCAAGCGUUAAUCGGAAUUACUGGGCGUAAAGGGUGCGUAGGUGGUUDAUUAAGUUAUCUGUGAAAUCCCUGGGCUUAACCUGGGCAGGUCAGAUAAUACUGGURRCCUCGAGUAUGG